UUACCAUGCAAGUCGAACGGUCCUUCGGGAUAGUGGCGGACGGGUGAGUAACACGUGCCNUUUUGUACCCUUAGGUUCGGAACAACACAGGGAAACUUGUGCUAAUACCGGAUAAGCCCUUCGGGGGAAAGAUUUAUCGCCUUUGGAGCGGCCCGCGUCUGAUUAGCUUGUUGGUGAGGUAAUGGCUCACCAAGGCUACGAUCAGUAGCUGGUCUGAGAGGAUGGCCAGCCACACUGGGACUGAGACACGGCCCAGACUCCUACGGGAGGCAGCAGUGGGGAAUCUUGCGCAAUGGGCGAAAGCCUGACGCAGCCAUGCCGCGUGGAUGAUGAAGGUCUUAGGAUUGUAAAAUCCUUUCACCGGGGACGAUAACGACGGUACCCGGAGAAGAAGCCCCGGCUAACUUCGUGCCAGCAGCCGCGGUAAUACGAAGGGGGCUAGCGUUGCUCGGAAUUACUGGGCGUAAAGGGCGCGUAGGCGGACAGUUAAGUUGGGGGUGAAAGCCCGGGGCUCAACCUCGGAAAUGCCUUCAAUACUGGCUGUCUUGAGUACGGGAGAGGUGAGUGGAACUCCGAGUGUAGAGGUGAAAUUCGUAGAUAUUCGGAAGAACACCCCAGUGGCGAAGGCGACUCANCUGGCCCGUUANCUNCCGCUAGGCGCNAAGGCAG
rnacentral:rRNA from 1 species